GCGGUGGAGCAUGUGGUUUAAUUCGAUGAUACGCGAGGAACCUUACCUGGGCUCAAAUGUAUGUUGACGUAUUCUGAAAGGGAUACUUCUUCGGACAAUAUACAAGGUGCUGCAUGGUUGUCGUCAGCUCGUGUCGUGAGAUGUUGGGUUAAGUCCCGCAACGAGCGCAACCCUUGUGUUUUAGUUGCAAACAGGUCAAGCUGUGCACUCUAGACAGACUGCCGUGGACAACACGGAGGAAGGUGGGGAUGACGUCAAAUCAUCAUGCCCCUUAUGAUCUGGGCUACACACGUGCUACAAUGGCCGGUACAACGGGCAGCGAAGGAGCGAUCCGGAGCGAAUCCUAAAAAGCCGGUCCCAGUUCGGAUUGCAGGCUGAAACUCGCCUACAUGAAGUUGGAGUUGCUAGUAAUCGCGAAUCAGAAUGUCGCGGUGAAUGCGUUCCCGGGUCUU
rnacentral:rRNA from 1 species